rnacentral:rRNA from 1 species
AUUGAACGCUGGCGGCAGGCCUUACACAUGCAAGUCGAACGAGUGGCGGACGGGUGAGUAAUAUCUGGGAAACUGCCCGAUGGAGGGGGAUAACUACUGGAAACGGUGGCUAAUACCGCAUACCAUCGGAUCUGCCCAGAUGGGAUUAGCUAGUAGGUGGGGUAACGGCUCACCUAGGCGACGAUCCCUAGCUGGUCUGAGAGGAUGACCAGCCACACUGGGACUGAGACACGGCCCAGACUCCUACGGGAGGCAGCAGUGGGGAAUUUUGGACAAUGGGGGAAAGCCUGAUGCAGCCAUGCCGCGUGUAUGAAGAAGGCCUUCGGGUUGUAAAGUACUUUCAGCGGGGAGGCGUUACCUGCAGAAUAAGCACCGGCUAACUCCGUGCCAGCAGCCGCGGUAAUUC